rnacentral:lncRNA from 1 species
CUCAGCAUUGUUUAUGAGGUUUGAUUUUGCUGAUGCAGUUAUUGUAGUUCUUUUUUUGUUUUCCUGCUGCUCUGGCAUUCCAUUGCGUGAAUUCACCUCAGUUUAUUAGUUCAUUUACCAGUUGGCAGAUGUUGUAGUUGUUUCUAGUUUUUUGCUAUUACAAACAUCAUUGCUGUAAACAUUCCUGUGUAUGUUUUCUACACUUAAAAUAUGUACAUAUUUUUUAUACCUUUAGUUAUGGAUUUUCAAAUGCCUAUAGAAAAGUCUAGAUAGGAAACUGAAUGAUUCAAAAUUCCUUUGUAAACUUUGUGUUUUCCAUAGUUUCUUAAAUACCCUUAAUUUUAUGUUCUGUAGUUAAAAAAACAAUGUACCGUAGAUGCUGUUUUCCUUUGGAAAACACAGAAAAGGAUAAGAAUUAAUAAGAGAAAUUUGAAUUAAUCAAUGUGGAAAGAAUCAUAAGUCCGCACUGGGAACUCUCUCUAGUCACUUAUGACAGAGCAUGAUAAUGGGAGAAAAAAGAAUGUAUAUAUGUAUGUGUGACUGGGUCACCUUGUUGUAUGGUAGAAAAUUGACAGAACACUGCAAACCAGCUAUAAUAGAAAAAAUAAAAAUCAUUAAAAAAAAAAAGUCCUUUUAUAAGUACUUCCAGGCUUGAAUUACAGUGUUUCUGGCAAGUCUGUAGCUUUUUAAACUUCUUUUCUGUUAUUUUUCUUUUCAUCAACUGUGGACCACUCACACUUCCUUUGUCAGUAUCAUGUAGGCCAAAGGAGACCCAUCAAAAACUUUUGCUAUCUAGGAAUAUUUUUUUUUCUAAGAAUAUUUUUAAAGCAUUGAAAUAAUUUAAGAAAUUUGAGCUUUAAUGGAGCUUUUGAGUUUUAAAGUUUUUGCGUUUUGUUUUGGUCUUAUUGCUAAGGUUUUUCGGAUUAAGGCAUGCCAGCCUCUUGGUAACGAUUUUUGGUACUCUGACUAAAUUGCACAGACUCACUUGGCCAUGACAGUUUUUCUGUCCUGCCUCACUGACUCAGAGCUCUAGGUGAUUGAGCAAAUAGAGACAUUCAAAACAACUGAUCACAGAACUUGGGAAAUUUGUAUUCAGUUUUGACUGAUUGACAGUAGAACUGUUAGACUUGGCCUCAGACAUGAGGAGAAAUUCAUUUUAAUUACCUGUAAACUUUGUGGAACAGUUUGUGUGACCUUCAUUUAAAGAUGCACCCCCCCCAUAAACAUCACUCACAGGUCUCUGGAGUUCCCUAAGGCAGGCAUCAUUCUUUGAGUGUUUCAUGAACGGUAAAACGUGAUAACACGUCCCCUUAAACAUAUGGGAGUUGGUUGAAAAUUUCUGAUGGUCACCAUAGUAAUUAAACUUGGAUAAUGGAACUUGCUUGAUGUAAGCAGUUUUCCUCAGAUUAUGAAGGAACCUAAAACUCAAGUUUUAGAGGAGUCCCAAAAGUCCUCCUCACUUGCACCGUCUUUUUAUAGCAACAUGUACUGUACAAACUUGAAAAAAAUUGGCCUUUGUAGUUCCCGUCGUGGCACAGUGGUUAACGGGUCCAACUGGGAACCAUGAGGUUGCGGGUUUGAUCCCUGGCCUUGCUCAGUGGGUUAGGGAUCCGGCGUUGCCGUGGGCUGUGGUGUAGGUUGCAGACGUGGCUCAGAUCCCAAGUUGCUGUGGUUCUGGCGUAGGCUGGCGGCUAUAGCUCCUAUUAGAUCCCUAGUCUGGGAACCUCCAUGUGCCCGGGGUGCGGCCCUAGAAAAGGCAAAAAGACAAAAAAAAAAAAAUUGGCCUUGGUGCCAGUUUUGGUUCAGGAAAGUCAAAUUUCAGAGUUGGAAUGGAUGAAGAAAGUUCCUUCCUUCCUCCUCCCUCCUUCCUUCCCUCCCUCCUUCCUUCCUUCCUUUUGGCUGUGCCUAUGACCUAUGGAAGUUCCCAGGCCAGGGACUGAACCCACAUGAAAGUUUCUUGAUAGUAGCUCACAUUUAUGUAUUGGCUUGGGAUAGAAAGUUAAAAUUGAGAUUGAUGAACAACCCAUGUAAUAACCGUUUAACUCCUAAAAUGUGAGCACUUUAUUUCCUAUGUCAUCUCCUUUUCAUAUUUCUCUGAAUAAAAUGCUCAUGAUCUUUCUGUGCCCAACUUGGGGAAAGUCUUUUCGAGAUUUUAGUUUGGUCUUAGAUGAUUUAAAAUAUUUGUGAGUAUAUUGCAGAGCAAUGUUAGUUUGUUCCAUACAGAAUGUGAUACUUGUAUUUAUUGAUUAGUCCCGUCUUAAUAAGAUUUAUACAGUCUGGAGGAAAAGAUGGGGCUAAAAUGACCCAAAUAUUGUAUUCAAUGUGUUUGUGGGUUUUUUUGUUAUGUUUUGUUUUGUUUAUUUGGCCGCACCCACAGCAUGUAGAAGUUCCUGAUCCAGAGGUUGAACCCACGCCACAGUUAGCAGCCCAAGCCACUGCAGUGACAAUUAUGAGUCCUUGACCCACUGCACCACAAGAGAACUCCCAAUGUUUUUGUUACUUUUAAGGUAAAUUAGUAAGUGGGGAGUUCCAUGGUGGUCUGUUGAUUAAGGAUCUGGCGUUGUCACUGCUAUGGCAGGAGUUCAAUCCCUGGCCCCAGAGUUUUGGUGUGUUGCAGGCCCAGCCAAAAAGAAAAAAGUUUAUAAACUAAGCAAGUGAAAGGAAGCCAUGUCUACUUGGCGAAUGAGAAUCAAAACCCCUAAAAGUACCUAGGGUGUUAGUAACAGCUGUCAUUCCAGUUUGAAAUUUGCAUCAUUGCAGUAUAAAAACUGAACUGAUGUACUUAAGUUUAGAGGGGAAAUUUUUUUUUAAUCCAUGGUCACAGACAACUUCUCUUUGGAGAACAGAGAAAGGCAGACUAAGAAAUACAAAUAGGAAGUGUUUAAUCCUGUAUUGUGGCUUACUCUAGCAUUUCUUAUUCUCUUAAAUUUUGGGCUAGACUUCUACAAAAAUUAAUCUAUAAACUUGAGUGGUGUGUGUGAUUGCCAGCUGUGUGACCUUUCUAGGGUUGGAACUUUCUGGAAUCUAAUUCCUUCUACUUUAUAACCUGUAGUGUAGGAAAGUAACACCCACCCCCCGCUCCCCACAGUUAGGGCAGGGUGGAAAAAUCUCAUAAAUAAAAUAGUAAAAGGCUAUAGUUAUCUUGAAACUCAUGAACAUUUUUAUUUUUUAUUUCUUUUGUCUUUUCUAGGGCUGCUCCUGCGGCAUAUGGAGGUUCCCAGGCUAGGGGUCAAAUUGGAGCUGUAGUCCCUGCCCUACACCAGAGCCAUAGCAAUGCGGGAUCCGAGCCGUGUCUGCCACCUACACCACAGCUCACGGCAAUGCCAGAUUCCUAAUCCACUGAGAGAGGCCAGGGAUCGAACCCACAACCUCAUGGUUCCCAGUCGGAUUCGUUAACCACUGAGCCAUGACAGGAACUCCUCACGAACAUUUUUAAAAGUAAGUUUUUUCAUUUUUGUAGAUGUGUAUUUUAGUUAAUAGUUUUUCCUGUCUUCAUUUUCCUUCAUAAAAAAAUGAGAUAUUCCUGAGUUAGCACUCUCCUGAAAUGUACUGUUUGGCUCAGAUCUGUGCUCUGUAUAGAGUGUCCUGCGCCUGCCCAUGUCUGACUCGGAAGGGGAGACACAGAUGGGAGAGCGGGUGACUGACUCAGAGAGCUCUAAAUGAUCUUACUAUGCUUGAGCGAGCCACACCUAGAAACCUUGACAAUAAUAAGACCUGUGUUGGAUAUGCCUUACUUGUCAGAUCCUGUCUGGAUUUUAGUCUGUCACAUGUGUGUUGUUCAUCGGCAGAGUUAAAUGGGUACCAGAACAAUUGCAAAGCUUUAACCAGACCCAUGAUUACACUGUUUCUCACUUCAGCCAUACAAAGAAAAUGAAACACAAACCCAAAACAAAUUUCUAGUUGUUUCUGUUAUUGUAGGUUCUGGUCAGUGGUUUUAGUGCUACAGAUCCUACACCAAGAUAGAUGUUCAUGGGUAAAUUCAUUAAGAUAAUCAGUGUCAGUGGCAAGCUGUUAAUGUUUUAAAAUAACUUUUCUCUGGGAGUUCCCAUUGUGGUCCAGCAGAAACGAAUCUGACUAGUAUCCAUGAGGAUGUGGGUUCAAUCCCUGGCCUCGAUCAGUAGGUCAAGGAUCCAGCAUUGCUGUGAGCUGUGCUGUAGGUCACAGACACGGCUGUGAUCUGGCUGUGCUGUGGCUGCGGUGUAGGCAGGCAGCUGUAGCUUCAAUUGGACCCCUAGCCUGGGAACCUCCAUAUGCCAUGGGUGCAGCCCUGAAAAAAAGAAAAGAAAAGAAAAGAAAAA